rnacentral:lncRNA from 1 species
CUCAAUUGACCCACGUCCAGCUUUACCAAAUUAAUUGCAUGAAGGUGGCACAUCCAUAAACGUUACACAACAGAUGUCAUGUAUCUAAUAAAAGACUAGAACAUAAUAAAACAAUAUAAAUAAGUAAAUGAUUUAUAGCCUGACUCAUUUUCUCUAGACUUUAGACUCUAAACUCAGAAUUUGGCACACAAAACUAAUAGAAAUUGAGGCAAGCUUUACUUGUCAUAUUCCAGCCACCAGGGACGUACAGCUCGCUGGGCACACGGAGAGGUGAUGAACACAUCUGGUUAUUCUAUCAUAUUUUUUAUUUGAAUUUACUUAAUCAUUUUUAUCAUAUGCACAGAAGAAGAAAUGUCUAUGAAUGUCUGAUGGUAUUUUGAUACUGACAAUAAACCUAAAUGUACUUUUAGCGUAAGACAUUUUCUCUUUUCCUAAAAACUUCCAUUACAGCCUUUUAGAGCUUCUGUCAGUUAUCUUGUGUUGAAUGACGUAUUGUUUUAAAGUUGUCUCUAUUGCGUUUCAGACUCAACUUGGGCAGUUUGCUGGGUAAAAUCCACUGCUACUGAUAAUGUCCGUGGAAAUUCACGGCACGUUCAAAACCUCUGGCUCCUCAGCAGCAGUCGAAGAUCCAGAAACAGCCACAGCGAGUGUGGCAGCAGAGGGUGUCGCAUCAACUGGCAAUGACAAGAAAAGCGGAUCAUUCGGGGUCUCGCUGUUCGUCAAUGCCCUCAUUCAGAUAGGAAUUGGAGGAUAUUUCCACCAUGACUGCCCGGCCCAGCCCUACAUUCCCAUCUACAUGGAGGUACUGGGAACCGUCACAAUUGUAACAGUGAUUUCUUAUUGGUGGUAUAAGGACAGCCCCAAGAACUACCUGGUCAUCACAAUCUUGACUUUGGGCCUUCUCUUCUGCUUUUGCUUCUUCAUCACUGGUGGUGUGUGGAUCUACUCAAUCUACCCACCCAACUACGACAAGCUCAUAACACAGUUGAUACCUCACUGCAACAGGACACUCUACUUGUUUGCCUUCAUUGACACCACCAUCAUCUGCGUGAUAGUAGGUCUUAUCAUCCUUUCAGGCUGCUGCUGUUUUGCUUUCAAGUGUGUUUCCACGAUUAUAUAA